rnacentral:rRNA from 1 species
AUGAAUGCUCCACACCUUCCCUUUUCAUGCAAAUUCAAUGAUAAUAAAACCUUAGCUUCUUAUGCUAAUGGUAGAUAUGAUUACUAUGAUGUGGAACAAAUAGAAGAAUUUGUUGCUUUUAUGGGUGCCUAUGAGAUUGAAUCUAUGUUUAAAGAGUUUGAUGAUUUUGAUGAUGCAGUUUAUAGACUUGAAAAUUUUGCUAUAAAAAUUAUGAAUACAAUUACAAUAUUAAUGCAUUUAUUGAGAAAGUCUUCACUGUCCAAGAAGAGAUUAAUAUUUUGCAGGAAGCUAUGGAAGAAGAAAUUGAUGAAACUGUGA